UUUGUUACUUCGUUCAUUUCGGCUUCUUUCUUCUAGACGAGGCUGAAAAAUUAGACUUGUUCGGAAAGCUUAAAGAGUUAUGGUAGGGCCACAACUCAAAUAUCACAGCUGAUAGUGAAGGCAGGAUGAAGGGAGAAAAAGAAAGGGAGAUGCCAGUUGUCUCUGCCUCUUCAGAAAUGCAAAAGCUUCCCAGAGAACUCCUUGUAGACUUCUACUACUGUGUCUCAACCGGAAGGGUGUCACCUGGCCAUUCUAAAUUGUAAAGGAUGUGGGAAAAUAAAAACAGGAAAAUGGAAGACUGACGCAGCCAUGUGUUUCAAGAGAAGGAGAAGAGCGUAUUGUGGAAGUAGAGACUGUUCCUACACGACUAUCACACGUGACUUAAGAAGCUGUUAUGAAACCAACAGCAUUAAGAAGUAUAACCAGAACAGCAAAGACAUGUUAAUGACAAACAAGGAAAAAACUUAACGGACUGAACACAAGGGGAAUUACAGCAGUGACAAAGGUGUAACAUGUGUUAAGUAAACAAAAUUUUCUUGGCAUGAAAACCUUUCACCAAUGAUGGGUUUAUAGAAAGGGUGAUUGCAGCAGAAAUUGCAUCCUCAGCAGAAACAGCAUUUGCAAAUAAAAGUUUAACCAGGUAAAAUAUUUCUUAGCAUGUUGAAACUAGAGUGAAGGGACUUAUAGUACAAAUUUGCAUGAAAAUGUUAAAUCAUUUAUAGUUUUUCCCCUCCAGCCUAUGAGAGUAUAGAUAUAAGAUAUAUGUAUCACCUGGUUAGCUACAGUCAUUCGUGGUGCCUGGAAGGUUUUAAGUAUUUGAAUAGCUUUUGAACGUUGUGCCAGUGACGGCCAUAUCAGGAGAUUAUUUUUGUGUGUUGAGUGAAGUGGGUCAACGGCUGCGGGAAGUGCUCCACCAAGUCAGUGCUAAGACUGGGCUUGUUUUACAAAACUUAAACCCAUGCUGGCAAUUUGCACAAGUCGUACAACGUAUGUUUAUUUCAUAAUUCAGUGGGAAUCACAUUUCACCGAAAGCAAGAGAACAUGUCAUGAAGGUGGCAAUGAGAUGGAUGUACUGCUAUGCUUUGAACAAUAGAAGACAUGUCAGUGCUUCCUUUACUUAAUGAAUUGUAUGCACAAUAGAGGCAGUGUGAGACUAAAGAGAUUUUUCUUUGGAUGUUUAUAAGAAAUUGGUUUUUGUUAUCUAAAGAAAGUGUUAGCUGAACUCAUUAGUGAAGAUUUAGUCAGAUUGGAUCUCUGGUUGACCUUAUAUACACCCUAUUUCUCUACAAGUGUGUUCACAACCAGUUACACAAAUGAAGCAUUCAUUUUAUUCAUCUAAUUUCUAACCAAAUUGUGCCUUUGGGAAACUCACUUAACCAGGAAAAAUCUAGCCUACUUUCAUAUGCAGACAUCAUUUUCCAGAAAUUUAAGUGGUGACUACCCCUUGUGGAACUAAGAAUUGAAUUCUAAAAAAGUUAUUUGAUUUCAAAAUUUAUAAAAAUGGACUAACUUGGAUAAAUUUUCCUUUUCUUAACUAAUAUUGAUAAUAUGAAUAAAGAGCUAAAAAGUGGAAGUUAGCAUACUGAAGUGUAGUUCUGAAAACUAACCAUGAACUGAAUUCUGUAAAUAACUCAGAUAUUUUAAAUAUCCAAUAAAAUUGAGCAAGGAAUCUAUGUUUUGGAAAAACCACAUCUGUGAAAAAGUUUUACAUUAUUAAUUUGAAUAAAAUUAAAAUUGCUCCCAGAUGACGCAGAAGAAAAAUGUCACAUUUCUCUGGUUCAAGAUAAAAAAAUAAUGAAUUAUAGAAGAAAAACACGAUAACCAAAAUACUUAUUUUUAAUUUGUUAUUUGAAUGUUACAUCAUAAAAUUUAAUCCAUAAUACUGUAUAUUUAUGUCACAUGCUUGUACCAAAGUACAAUCAAGGAUAUGAUGAUAAUUCUCAUAUUUGAUUCUUGUUACCCCCACCCCUUCACUCAUUUACCAUGUUUUCUUGCCCUUUAUGAGCAUGUGAGAUUGUGAGUCCUCAUCUUGCCUUUCCUGCAUUCCUCCUGAGUACAAAGAUAAUCAAUGACCUGAAAUGUAUAAAAUUUCCAGAAAUAUUUGUCCUUUUUCCAUAGUAGGGGGACACAAGAGAAGAAAGCUCAGAACUUGGAACCAAAGGCAAUGGAGAAAUUCAGUCCAACCAUAGUGUUACCAGGUGGGAGUGGGCUAGAGCUGGAGAAGACCACAUAGAGAAAUCUGAACUCGAGGUUUCAUAAAGCUCCCCUAAUUUUGUUCAACUAUUGAGAUUCACAAGGUAAGUCCCCAGUACAGCAGCAGCCCUCUGAAAGAUUCAGGGAGGAUCUAUGUUGGCUGCACAGGCCAAUAGCAACCCUGAGAAUAGGACCCUUCGCCAUUUUGUGAGAAGAAAGACUACGAGAUUAAUGUCAAACCUGUUAGUAACUAAUAUUGAAUAACUCUUAAAACUUUGUACAUAGUAAAUUACAAAAUAACACAAUCAAUUAAGCACUUUAUCAUUUGCAAAUUGUGAGUAGAAUUGUUGUUUCGCGGUUAAGUGCUUGGUAAUGAUGUCGUUCACUAAUUAAUUCAGUAUACAUACGAGAUAUAUUUUUUGCAUCUUCUAUUUGCCAAGCAGUGUUCUAGGUGCUGAGGAUGCAGCAGUAAACAAAAUAGACAAAAUCCCUGCCCUCAUACUGUGUACAUUCUAGAGGAGAGAGAAGGACAAAAUAAAUAAGCAGACCAUGUCCUGAGGAGGUGAAAUUUGAGAGAAUUUUGAUAAGAGCUCAGAGUCCAAUAAUCUUGAGAUUUUAAGUAAUAAGAAUUCUAUUAGCGGAACAAUUCUUAUAUGUCAGAACUUUAUUUCAUUUAUCCUUACAACUCUGUAGGGUGUAUUUUAUUCCCUUUCCACAAAUGAAGAAACUAGCUCAGGGAGACUAAGUAACUUGAUAAAUCAAACACCUAAUCAGUGGCCGUUCCAUAAUAAUUUGAAUGGAAACUUUAAAAGUUUUAGUUUAGUAGAAGAAGAUGGGCAUGGAUGUUAGCUCAGGGCCAGUCUUCCUCAGCAAAAAGAGGAGGAUUGGCAGUAGUUAGCUCAGGGCUAAUCUUCCUCAAAAAAAAAAAAGUUUUAGGCAAAACAGCAUGUUCAUUCCAUUAGAAUUUGAGUUUUCAUUCAGUAUAAGAUAAUUCAUGAGACUUUUCUUUUUUCUUGCGGGCAAGAUUUGCCCUAAGCUAACAUCUGUUGCCAAUCUUCCUUCUUUUUUCUUCC